rfam:Gasterosteus aculeatus cont1.005123, whole genome shotgun sequence.
GGCUCUGUGGCUUAGUUGGUCAAAGUGCCUGUCUAGUAAACAGGAGAUCCUGGGUUCAAAUCCCAGCAGUGCCG